rnacentral:rRNA from 1 species
GAUGAACGCUGGCGGCGUGCCUAAUACAUGCAAGUCGAGCGAACGGACGAGAAGCUUGCUUCUCUGAUGUUAGCGGCGGACGGGUGAGUAACACGUGGAUAACCUACCUAUAAGACUGGGAUAACUUCGGGAAACCGGAGCUAAUACCGGAUAAUAUUUUGAACCGCAUGGUUCAAAAGUGAAAGACGGUCUUGCUGUCACUUAUAGAUGGAUCCGCGCUGCAUUAGCUAGUUGGUAAGGUAACGGCUUACCAAGGCAACGAUGCAUAGCCGACCUGAGAGGGUGAUCAGCCACACUGGAACUGAGACACGGUCCAGACUCCUACGGGAGGCAGCAGUAGGGAAUCUUCCACAAUGGGCGAAAGCCUGACGGAGCAACGCCGCGUGAGUGAUGAAGGUCUUCGGAUCGUAAAACUCUGUUAUUAGGGAAGAACAUAUGUGUAAGUAACUGUGCACAUCUUGACGGUACCUAAUCAGAAAGCCACGGCUAACUACGUG